rnacentral:rRNA from 1 species
GAUGAACGCUGGCGGUGUGCCUAACACAUGCAAGUCGAGCGGCCGCACAAUAAGCUCUUUCUCUUGCUGUUGGCGGCGGACGGGCGAGUAACACGUGCAUAACCUUCUUCUUUGACUGGGAUAAUUUCGGGAAGCCGCAGCUACUACUGCCUCAUAUGUUGUACCGCAUGGUUCAAAAGUGAUUCACGCCUUUCGUGUUUGUUUUAGAUGGUUUCGCGUUGCAUUAGCUAGUUGGUAAGGUAACGGCCUACCAAGGCUACGAUGCAUAGCCGACCUGAGAGGAUGAUCAGCCACACUGGAACUGAGACACGGUCCAGACUCCUACGGGAGGCAGCAGUGGGGAAUCUUCCACAAUGGGCGAAAGCCUGACGCAGCAACGCCGCGUGAGUGAUGAAGGUCUUCGGAUCGUAAAACUCUGUUAUUAGGAAAGAACAUAUGUAUAAUAAACUGUGCACAUCUUGACGGUACCUAAACAGAAAGCCACGGCUAACUACGUG